rnacentral:rRNA from 1 species
GGUUAAGCGACUAAGCGUACACGGUGGAUGCCCUGGCAGUCAGAGGCGAUGAAGGACGUGCUAAUCUGCGAUAAGCGUCGGUAAGGUGAUAUGAACCGUUAUAACCGGCGAUUUCCGAAUGGGGAAACCCAGUGUGUUUCGACACACUAUCAUUAACUGAAUCCAUAGGUUAAUGAGGCGAACCGGGGGAACUGAAACAUCUAAGUACCCCGAGGAAAAGAAAUCAACCGAGAUUCCCCCAGUAGCGGCGAGCGAACGGGGAGCAGCCCAGAGCCUGAAUCAGUGUGUGUGUUAGUGGAAGCGUCUGGAAAGGCGCGCGAUACAGGGUGACAGCCCCGUACACAAAAAUGCACAUACUGUGAGCUCGAUGAGUAGGGCGGGACACGUGGUAUCCUGUCUGAAUAUGGGGGGACCAUCCUCCAAGGCUAAAUACUCCUGACUGACCGAUAGUGAACCAGUACCGUGAGGGAAAGGCGAAAAGAACCCCGGCGAGGGGAGUGAAAAAGAACCUGAAACCGUGUACGUACAAGCAGUGGGAGCACGCUUCGGCGUGUGACUGCGUACCUUUUGUAUAAUGGGUCAGCGACUUAUAUUCUGUAGCAAGGUUAACCGAAUAGGGGAGCCGAAGGGAAACCGAGUCUUAACUGGGCGUUAAGUUGCAGGGUAUAGACCCGAAACCCGGUGAUCUAGCCAUGGGCAGGUUGAAGGUUGGGUAACACUAACUGGAGGACCGAACCGACUAAUGUUGAAAAAUUAGCGGAUGACUUGUGGCUGGGGGUGAAAGGCCAAUCAAACCGGGAGAUAGCUGGUUCUCCCCGAAAGCUAUUUAGGUAGCGCCUCGUGAAUUCAUCUCCGGGGGUAGAGCACUGUUUCGGCAAGGGGGUCAUCCCGACUUACCAACCCGAUGCAAACUGCGAAUACCGGAGAAUGUUAUCACGGGAGACACACGGCGGGUGCUAACGUCCGUCGUGAAGAGGGAAACAACCCAGACCGCCAGCUAAGGUCCCAAAGUCAUGGUUAAGUGGGAAACGAUGUGGGAAGGCCCAGACAGCCAGGAUGUUGGCUUAGAAGCAGCCAUCAUUUAAAGAAAGCGUAAUAGCUCACUGGUCGAGUCGGCCUGCGCGGAAGAUGUAACGGGGCUAAACCAUGCACCGAAGCUGCGGCAGCGACACUAUGUGUUGUUGGGUAGGGGAGCGUUCUGUAAGCCUGUGAAGGUGUGCUGUGAGGCAUGCUGGAGGUAUCAGAAGUGCGAAUGCUGACAUAAGUAACGAUAAAGCGGGUGAAAAGCCCGCUCGCCGGAAGACCAAGGGUUCCUGUCCAACGUUAAUCGGGGCAGGGUGAGUCGACCCCUAAGGCGAGGCCGAAAGGCGUAGUCGAUGGGAAACAGGUUAAUAUUCCUGUACUUGGUGUUACUGCGAAGGGGGGACGGAGAAGGCUAUGUUGGCCGGGCGACGGUUGUCCCGGUUUAAGCGUGUAGGCUGGUUUUCCAGGCAAAUCCGGAAAAUCAAGGCUGAGGCGUGAUGACGAGGCACUACGGUGCUGAAGCAACAAAUGCCCUGCUUCCAGGAAAAGCCUCUAAGCAUCAGGUAACAUUAAAUCGUACCCCAAACCGACACAGGUGGUCAGGUAGAGAAUACCAAGGCGCUUGAGAGAACUCGGGUGAAGGAACUAGGCAAAAUGGUGCCGUAACUUCGGGAGAAGGCACGCUGAUAUGUAGGUGAAGUCCCUCGCGGAUGGAGCUGAAAUCAGUCGAAGAUACCAGCUGG